rnacentral:rRNA from 1 species
GACGAACGCUGGCGGCGUGCCUAAUACAUGCAAGUGGGACGCAAGGGAACACACUGUGCUUGCACACCGUGUUUUCCUGAGUCGCGAACGGGUGAGUAACGCGUAGGUAACCUGCCUAUUAGCGGGGGAUAACUAUUGGAAACGAUAGCUAAUACCGCAUAAUAUUAAUUAUUGCAUGAUAAUUGAUUGAAAGAUGCAAGCGCAUCACUAGUAGAUGGACCUGCGUUGUAUUAGCUAGUUGGUAAGGUAAGAGCUUACCAAGGCGACGAUACAUAGCCGACCUGAGAGGGUGAUCGGCCACACUGGGACUGAGACACGGCCCAGACUCCUACGGGAGGCAGCAGUAGGGAAUCUUCGGCAAUGGACGAAAGUCUGACCGAGCGACGCCGCGUGAGUGAAGAAGGUUUUCGGAUCGUAAAGCUCUGUUGUAAGUCAAGAACGUGUGUGAGAGUGGAAAGUUCACACAGUGACG